rnacentral:rRNA from 1 species
GACAGAGGGUGCAACCGUUGUUCGGAAUUACUGGGCGUAAAGCGCGUGUAGGCGGCUCUGUAAGUCGGGUGUGAAAUCCCACGGCUCAACCGUGGAAGUGCACUCGAAACUACAGGGCUAGAGUCCUGGAGAGGAAGGUGGAAUGCUUGGUGUAGAGGUGAAAUUCGUAGAUAUCAAGCGGAACACCGGUGGCGAAGGCGGCCUUCUGGACAGUGACUGACGCUGAGACGCGAAAGCGUGGGGAGCAAACAGG